rnacentral:lncRNA from 1 species
AGAGAGUGGCCAUUGGAACCACAAAAAGAAAUUUUAAUGGGUUAUAUUUACCAAUUAGAAGUAUAUGCAAAAUGGUCAAAGUGGACUUAAAGAUUCAAUUCAAAAUAAGUAUUGUGAAAAGGAAAGUCUGAAAGUCAAAAGCAUAAGGCUUAGGUUUCUAAUGUUUGAAAACAAUAGUUAAAUGUUUGCACAAAAGGUUUUGGCUUGGGUUAGAG